rnacentral:sRNA from 1 species
UGCACAUGGGUUAGUCGAUCCU